rnacentral:lncRNA from 1 species
AUGUCCCAUCAACACACAGUGCCAGUGACUGUUCCAGCUGUGGUUCAGGAAUCUCUCAAGACUGUAUGUUCUCCAGCUCAAACUCAGCAGGAACAAACAAAGCAACCAACUCCAUAUCCUGCACAAUGCCAGGUCUUCACUGACACUCAAGAGAAGGGCUUUCCCAAACAUGAGGAGAAGGAGGCAAACCCCGUGAAAGAUCUGCCUGAGCAAGAGAGUGAGCACCACCAGCAGCCAGGACCACAGAAGCAGCAGCUGCAGGUGAAAAAGCCAGAGCAGGAGCUGCAGGAACAGGAACUGCAUUCGGAGAAGCAGCAGACACCACAGGAGCCACAGGGGCUCCUGUGCCUGGGACAGCAACAGCAGCGAGAGCCACAAGAGCAAGAACAGCACCUUAGACAGCACCAGCAGCCACAGCAAGAGUCACAGGGGCAGGGGCUGUGCUUGGGGCAGCAGCAAGAUGUGCUGGCACCACAGGAGCUGCAUAUGGGACAGCACCAGAAGGAGAAGCUGCAGGAGCCAGAACUGCCUCUGGGUCAGCAGCAGAAAACUCCAGAGGAACAGGAACUGAUUCUAGGAGAAAAGCAGCAGAAGCUGCACCUGGUAGAGAGGCACCAAGAGCCACAGGAGCAGGAGCUGCACCUCGGACAGAAACAGAAGCAACAGCAACCACAAGAACAGGAGUUGCAGUUGGUACAGCACCAGAAGCAGAAGCAGCAUGAACCAGAAUUGUGCCUGAGGAAGCAGCAGCAGCAGGAGUCACAUGAGCGAGAACUGCACCUGGGAAAGCAGCAGCAUCAGGAGUCACAUGAGCGAGAACUGCACCUGGGAAAGCAGCAGCAUCAGGAGUCACAUGAGCCAGAACUGCACCUGGGAAAGCAGCAGCAUCAGGAGUCAUGUGAGCCAGAACUGCACCUAGGGGAACAGCAGCAUCAGGAGCAGCAGCAGCAUCAGGAGUCAUGUGAGCCAGAACUGCACCUAGGGAAACAGCAGCAUCAAGAGACUCAGGAGUCAGAACUGCAACUGGGAAAGCAGCAGAAACCACAUGAGCCAGAUAUGGUACUGGAUCCGAAAGAGAAGCAGAAACUUCAUGACCCAGAACUGCACCUGGGAAAGCAGCAGCACCAGGAGUCUCAGGAGUCAGAACUGCAAGUGGAAAAGAAACAGCAUGAGAAGUCCCCAGAGCCAGAACUGCACCUGGGAAAGCAGCAGGAGUUACAUGAGCCUGAUAUGACAGAGGAUCAGAAAGAGAAGCAGAGUCUUCAUGAACCAGAACUGCACCUGGGAAAGCAGCAGGAGUCACAUGAGCCUGAUAUGACAGAGGAUCAGAAAGAGAAGCAGAGUCUUUAUGAAUCAGAACUGCACCUGGGAAAGCAGCAGGAACAACAGAUAGAGUAUGAAGGCUACCAAAGAUCAAAAAGUCUGAAUCAGUUACUUAAGCAAGAGAAAGCUUCCAGGGGACAGGAGCUGGAUGACUCACAUCUAGAACAGGAGAAGGAGCUCUUGGACCAGCGAUUGGAUCAAGAACUAGUAAAUAAGGAUGAGCAACUGGAAAGAAAGAAGCACAAAUUGGAGAACCUGACACAGAAGGAGAAGCAGAUAAAGCAAUUAGUACCAAGCACUGACAGAGUCCAAGAGACUCAGCCAAUCCAACCAGUGAAAGAAGACUCUCUCACUACAAAGAAGCAGCAGCACAGCCAUGAAGUGCAGUGA